CGAACUGCAGCGGGAGAGUCCUCGCCCAUCCCGGGUGAGGCGCCGAAGGAGCAAACCUCCCCAGAAUCUCUCAGGCCCCAUGACCGCUGUGGUGAG
rnacentral:ncRNA from 1 species